AUCUGGCCUAUAAGAAGAUUUGACACUACUUCGGUACGUGGUUUCUUUUCUAAUGAAUUAAGACGAGAUGAAGCUAAUUAUUUUCUGUGGCCCAAGAAAAUCUUAGAGGCUCUUUGUGCUCACACCCCUAAGGUGAAAAACCCAGAUAAAGGAAGGAAUCCAUGUGUAAAAGUAUAUGAACUACCUUCUUAUCCAAUUUCCAAUGCAGACACAUGUGUGUAAUAUCUGAAAACGGCAAUAGAAUUGAGGCAUAUAUGCAGGGAUGGGAAAUAUAACUUAAAAUCUCCACAAACUACUUGAGUUCACCUCAUUCCCGGAACGGCAUUAAGGAAGAGAAUUGGGAACACAUGGAGAAUGGAAAGCUGCAAACCUAAACAUCUACAGAACGUGGAAAGAACUAGUUAGAAACACAGAUAUCUUCUUGGUAGUGGGAUGUAGGGAAAUAUCAGUAUGACCACACAGACCUGAAGUCAUUCCAAGGAUCUCCAGUUAAGCCCCAUCCAAAUCUGUACCCAGUUUCAUGUUGGAAAGACAAAUGGAGCAAUGUACUAGUGUAUCUGGAAGUGGACCACAUAACAUCUAGUGUGCUUUAUUUUUUAAUUGCUCUUAUUCUGAGCUAAGUGUUCUUCUGAAGUGUUAUGCUGUUUGCCAAGAACUGAAGGUGAAGAGGAAAAAUAGCAAGAGCCUCCUUGAGCAAGAACAGAAGAGAAAAUUAACUAAAAGGGAAAUCAAAACUAAGAAUUACAUAGGGAAAAAAAACAAUUAUGAAGUCAUUAGUGUUGCUUUACUAUAAGCAACAUUAAAAAAAAUUGCAUUCGAUACUCCAGGCAUCAAGAGCCUAUUGCAAGCACCAGGCAGCAGAGGAACAUCUGCCACUAUUUAUCUUACUCAAAGUUGAAGAGUAAAUGUAGAUGCAGACCCAAAAACUUAAAAUGGAGAAAGGUUACAAGCUCAUCAAAAGUUUAGGCCUUGCUCCUAUUAUGUCUUUCUUACCUUUUGGAGAAGGAAAAUGGAUGCAACAAUACUCACCAGAACACAAACUUUGAAGCUCUAUUCAAAGCUACAGUAAAGUAACCCAGAAAGCCAUGUUUCUGAAAGAACGGGUCAGCUCUGAUUGUGCACUGGGAAUUCUAUUGGCACCACCGUUUAGCAAGGACCUGAGAAUGUAUCAGUGAAGGACCAAAAAAAUGAAGGGCUAAAGAUUACAAACUGAACUUCUUAAAAUAAGGCAGCUCUAUGCUUUCUGUGAAUCAACUAAGAAGCACGUGAACAGUUUUAUGGAUGACCUGUUUAAGGGGCCAAGAUGGUAGACCACAUGUAAUGUUUAGAAAUCCCCAUUUGGAUAAAACGUUGGAAAUCAUCUGGUCGCUGGGCUUCAAGCUGUGUUCCAGGGCAAUACCUGAAGCAACCCAAGAGAGUUGAAAUGGAUAUGCACAAUCUCAUCUCUAUUUUAACACCGGACUCACCUACUGAUGGACCUUUGUAAUGUAUUUGGCUGGAUGACAGAUGCACUUGGUGUCUAUAGAACAAAGAGAAGCUAUAUGACUCAUGCUGAGAUAUUGGACCUUGGACUUUAAUCUCAUUAGCCUGAGCUAAGUAACUUCAUUUCCCUAAGUAAAGAAGACCUACCAAGAAACUAAAAAUUCACCCCAAAAUUUUUUUGCAUGCUUUAAAGAACAAGAACAUCAUCAUAAAAACACAUAACUCAAAUCAAUCUAAAGUAAAUUAGAUAUACUAUUCACAGUUAACACAUCUCAGAUUUCAAAAUAAUAUAAAUAACAAAUAAAAAAGAUAAAUAAAUGUGGUUUAUUAUCUACCCCCAAUCCAUUUUUCCUACUUGGAAUCAGCUAUAACUUACAUUUAACUGGACUGCAUCUUUUAGGUAAAUAGUUUAUGAUCGCUAAUAAAAAUAAUUAUUUUCAAUCCUUUUAGCUACCCAUCUCUCACAUUGAGACAAUCUUAUCCGAAAUACACAGAUGAGGUAAAUAAGACAGUAACAAAACAUUACAAAUACUAAAGGUGGUGCCAGAACAAUGAUGUGAAAUACAUGACAAAAAAUUUAAAUAAAAAUAAAUGAUAGUUCUAUUUCUAGAUUUAUGUAAUCCAAAAUUAUAGAAGAACAUUAAAACGAAAUGUUACACCUAAUGAACAUUAUGUAGCAAAGGGAAUUCAAAUACACAUUGCAAUAUAUUAGUUUACACUACAGCAGAAAAAAGCAAAAGAAAAAUUAUGAGCAUCACAAAGGCACAAAGCUCACUUUAAGUAACUGAAAACAAUUGACAAAAGUUAUUCAUAAUUAUUGUAACUAUAUUUCUCAGUUGGUGAGCAUGCCUUGGCGGCCUAUUUUGUUUAAUGCCAGAUUGAUAUUUAAUACCCCUAUAGCGACAUAUCUUGUUAAAGUGAAGUAUAAUGGAACUGUCCAAAAAGUUUCUUCAAAUUACAAAGCUUUGUUUUUUUAUCUGAGGCAUUGUAUUAAGCUACACAUUCUCCAGAGGAAUAGUGAUAUUUAAAUAUGUGAUAUUGUUUCACAUCAACAUGAUUCUUCGUCAUGAAGAAAUAUGUAUUAAGUAUCUAUGAAAAUAUUUUAAUUUCCACACCCAUCCCUACCUCAAACUUUUAAAUCAUAGUUUGAUAAUUCCUCUUUUGAAUCAAGAAACAUUUUUCUGAUAUCUUUCAGGAAAUUUUUAAUUUCCUAUAUUUCCACAGUUCUCUAGCCAAGAGCCCUGAUAAUAAAAUGCAUGUUCAUUCAAUUUAUGGUGCCAAGUUAGGCAUACUAUCUAAACUUUGAGAAACACUGUUAUCAUUUCAAAUGAUCUUAAUAUUUUGUAGAAAUCAGAAACAAAACAAAAAAGGCAAACACAGUGUCAGAGAACUAAGUGUGGGCAUAAAGUUCAAGAAAGAAAAUAGGAAAGGAUUGUGGUAGAACUUCAUCUAUGGAACUAGAGAAUUAUAAAUUAGAUAAUCAGAAUAAUGAAUGAAUCCUUGAGUAGUUCUCUUAUUGCAUCUAGACAGGGUUGGUCUUUCCAUGUCAAGAUGAUAUUGGAAAGUCCAUCCUUUAGGAGAAAUGUUCUAGACCAAGCAUUGUCAAACUGUAGGCCAAAUCUAGUCUACUGUCUGUUUUUUUUUUCUUUUUUUUUUUUUACUGCCUGUUUUUGUAAGUAAAUGAAGUUUUAUUGGAAUUCAGUCAUGUUCACUUAUUUCUGUAUUGUCUUUGAUUACUUUCAUGUCAAAACAGCAGAGUUGAGCAAUUGUGAUCAUCUAUAUGGUUUGUAAAGCAUUUAUUUAUAACCUCGCACUGUAUGGUAGAAGUUUACUGAUCCUUGUCUAGACAAUGCCUACAUACUAACAUUACUUUCAGAAUAACAGGAUUGGUAAAUCUUCCAAAUUAUUCCAAUGACAACAUUCUGUCUACAGAAGCACUUUAUUAUUUUUGGUAUUUCAUUCUUCCUUUUUGAGUUUCAGAUUUUCUCCUCCAUACAUCUCAAACACAAUAUGUCUUACCAUGCCAACAGCAUUAACUUCAUGGUGAGUUCUGUUACUCACUAGUUGAAUGAUCUUUAGUUGGAUUCUCUCUUUUCUAAUUCUUGUCAUUAUCCUGGUUAACCCCAGCCUUUAUAUCUAUGACAUACUCGACAUUAUUCCAAAUUCCUUGGCUACUUAUUUCUAAAAACUCUUGCUCACCUUCUUUCAGAAUUUUUGCUCAUUUACAAAAUAGUUACUAGUAGAUAUUACCUAAGAUUUUUGUGAGAAUCGAUGAGAUAAGCUAUUAUAAGAUAAUAGAUUUUGCCACAUGGUAAUUUAAAAGCAUCAAAAUAGGAGGGCUCAAGAAUAGGAGUAUGGCACAUUGUCUCUUUCAGUUCUUCCCCUUACUAUUCUACUGUGUUUUCAUACUCCACCUUAUCUUGGUACACAUGGUAAGCUUCCAGACACCUGUUAGUUGUCUAACUUACCUCAAUGAAAACUAGUUCCCUUUCUCUCUCCACCUCAGUCCCAUUUAGUUCUUAAAUUUCUUUCUGAUGUGGAGCUAUCACUUAACCCCUCUUUUGCUGUUUAUCCAACCCGAAACCCCACCAAAAAAUACAAAAAAAUAAUACUUAAAAACAUAAAAGCAUAUACAUGAAACAGGAAGUUAUACUGGAGUUUUCCAAAUCACAUUGUCAUGUUUAAGUUUCUGGGUUUUCUUUUUUAAAAUAUUUAUUUAUUUAUUUAUUUAUUUAUUUAUUUAUUUAUGAGAGAGUGCCUGCAUGUGUGCAUGAAUGGGUAGGGGGGAGUGAGAGGCAAAAGAAGAGGAAGAAUAUCUCAAGCAGACACCAUGCUGAGAGCAGAGCCUUACACAGGGCUUGAUCGCAGGACCUUGAGAUCAUGACCCCAACCAAAACCAAGAGUCACAUGCUCAAUCUACUGAGCCAUCCAGGCACGCCCAGGUUUCUACUUUUACAGGCUUCACCAAAUUUUCCUCUCCUUGAAGUCUAAUGCUAUCCUGCAGUACUAUAUUCUAUUCUUCUAUCUCCCUAUCAUUUACCAAUUACCAAAUCACAUCUUCAAAUUUGGUACUGGCUCACAUUCUUUAUCCACUAUCUUCUAACAUCAACCUGGUAGAUUUUAUCAUCUAUGCAAAUAAUAUAUAUUCAAUAGACUAUGAUCAAAAUUUCUGGAUCCACAACUCAAAAGGCCUUCUUCUACCAUCUCAGUUUAGCUGUACACUUCUGUGGUAACUCCAGAAUUGUUAUCACUUAUGUCUGUCCCACCUCUGAAAUAUUUCACUCCAAUAUCCUAUACUCUGGCCACAACUUAUAUCUUCCCAUUUUCUCAAUCUCUCACUUUCACUUCAUCUGCUCACAAUUCACUAAGACAUAAACUAAAUUUAGAUCCUCUAUUUUUCUCAGUCUCUCACCCUUCUCAACCUCUAGUUUUAUGUAUUCUCCUAUCUAGCAGAGACAUCACACUCCAUCAUAAAAUCUUUAUCACCAGAUGUCAUUUUGCCACAUUCACCACAAAUCCUCACUCAAGAAUCAAUCUAACCAUCUACCUAGGGAUGGCACCUAAAGACAGUCUCUAUAAGAAUGGACCCAGUAAGAGAGGCAGCAGAUUUAGGGAACGAAUGAUAUAGCGGGCAUAUUAUUGUUUUCUCUAAUCAACUAAUCUCUCUGUGCCCAAGUUUGUCGAUCAUAGCAUCAUUCUGUUAAUAACAGAUGGUAAACUCAGAUUCAUUCUUGACUCCAUACUCUCACUUAUUAAACUAAGUGGUUUCAAAGUAUAGUUCAUAUUUACACUGGUUGAUAUUUACACUUUGUGUUUUUCCUGUUAUCACUGAAAUUUAAGUUUCUAUCAUUUCCUAUCUAAAUCAUUGAUAUCUAUCAUAAUUCAUUGCUUUUUCCUUGCCUUCAACCUAACAUUGCCAGAUUAAAUUUCUUAAAGCAAUACUUUCUUCAUAUUUCUAUAAUAUUCUAAUUUCUAUAAUAUUCUCCAGUGGAUUCCUUUUGCAUUUAGAAUUAAUUUCAUAAUCUGGAGUGCCCGGGUAACUCAGUCAGUUAGCCCUCUGACUCUUGAUUUCAGCAUAGGUCAUGAUCUCAAGGUCU